rnacentral:lncRNA from 1 species
UCGCCAAACCGUAGCUUGCUUGCAACGGAUUUUGCAAGAGAUCCGGCCGUAACUAUUAGCGACAACAUGGCUACAGAGUGGUCUAUUGCUCAUUAGCAACAACCUUAGCGAAAGAUAUGGCGUCACUAAAUAGCUAUAGAAUAUACCUACAGAUUUUUCUUAGCAAAGUCGUAACAAAUGUAGCAAAGGAUCUGGCUACAAAUGUUUUGUAUCUAAAAUGUUGGAUCAAAUUUGCAACAACAACGUUUUUGACUAAUGUUGAAGCAAAAGAAUGAUUUGUUUAGAAAGUCACUAAACUUAUUAUAAAAAGACAUCUUAAAUUCCACAAACAUUCAUUAUAGAAAGUCAUUUACCCUAACCAAACCUAACUAAUAAUUAGAAAAGGAAACCUAGACUAAACCAAGAGUAAACCAAAAGCCUAAGCCUAAUCCUCUUUGCCGUCAAUGCUUCCUAUCCACUGUUAGUCUCAGCAUGCCUCCUCCACCUUCAAGCUCAACUGGCCUUUUCCGCCAUCAAUCUUGCCACACCGGAUCUUCUUCUUAGGCGGCUGGCCACACCAGAGAAAUUGUCGUUGUCGAUUGAGGAGAAGCUGUCAAUCUUUUCGCACUGAAGCUUCUUCUCACAGUCACCACACCGUAGAAGCUGUCCACUGUCGUCGUCGUUGUCCGCAUCGAAGCUCGUGAGAGAUUGUGACUGCCGUCGUCGUUGUUGCCAUCUUAGUUGUUGUGGUUGUUGUCUGUGAAAACAAAAGAAGAAAAAAAGAUUAUCAGUGAGAGAUCGAGAGAUUGAGAGAAGUUGAGUAAAUAAAGGAAAAUAAAUAAAAGUAAAAUGUUCUUGUCCUUUAGAUCAGAUAUCAAUGGUUGAGGUUAGAAAAUGGUUAUCCUCGCCACUAUUUUUCAACCAAUGAGAGAUAGGAUAGGUAAAAUGAGAAGGAAGAGAUAUGGUCCACUGGAUUGAGCUUAAUUAAUGGACACAAAUUAAUCCUUGUAUAAAUGGAUCAGCCAAUGAGAUUUUUUAUUAAAAUUUUAUUGUUUCUCUGUAAUAUCAGCUUUAUAAAAUGAAAGUUAAUUUAUAGUUUUAUC